UACUGUAACACCCUCUUGAUCGUGACCCGGGCUGGUGGCUGUGUGUGUGUGUGUGUGUGUGUGUGUGUGAGUGGCUUUUGAUUUGCCUUUUGGGUGUUUGCUGUGUGCUUGGUGGGUUUUGUUUUUGUCUGUCUUCUCUUCCAUGUCUCCUGGAGCUGGUGGGCGUGGUCUCCAGUUCACUACGGCUGUCGCACACUUGUUCUCUGUCUCAAUCAAGCACCUGUUCUGCAUUCACUCAUCACCGCUCACUACUUAACCCUGGCCAGAUCUCCAGUCCUUCUCAGAUCGUUGUGUAACCUGAGAAAUUCGCCCUGUUCCCCCUGGGUUACCUGUCCUCCCCACCAGCCUGCACAGUCGUCAGGAGUAAUCCCCACCUCCCCCCGCCUGCCAGCUCCCACAACUUCUCCCUCCUCAACGGAACCCGGACCUUUCCCCGAUCCCCCUCAGCUCACCUAUUCCCUCUCUGUUCGUUGUAACCUAAAACCAUAAACCUCUUAAAUUCA